GAAUACGUUCCCGGGUCUUGUACACACCGCCCGUCAAACCAUGAGAGUCACCAACACCCGAAGUCCGCCUCGGCGGCCUAAGGUGGGGGAGAUGAUUGGGGUUAAGUCGUAACAAGGCAUCGGUACGAGAACGUGUCGAUGGAUUACCUCCUUU
rnacentral:rRNA from 1 species